rnacentral:lncRNA from 1 species
AGAGGGAGAGAGAAACGUUCAAACUGAAAGGAAAAAAUGGUGUAACUAUUUUCAAACAAAGGUAUUAAAUGUCGAUGGACAUGUCAGAGACAUCGGAUCAAGAUCCGAGGGUCAUCCACACUUUCCCCUCCGUAACGUGUUAUCGCUGGAUUAAAAUCUGACGACCAACAGGGGCGGAGUUACAGCGUAGACAUUGGGUUCAGAUGAGGAAUUGGAUCCGAGCCUACACAUAUGAACCCCAUGAUUAUAGUGUAAUGAACCCAGUGGUUUCCUUUUCUGGCUCCACCCGUGACGACCAAUCACGUCGACUUGUCUCUAACUAAAAAAAUACAGACGACUUCUUAAUAGCAAAACAUGAAAAAGGAAUAUAAUGUCUCUGUAAAAUAUAGAAAGACGUGGUUCUCCGUUAAGAUGUUGUGGUUAUUUCUCUUCUGUCAGUUGACCAUUUUUGUCCCCGUCUGAUCCAGCGCCGCUCCGUUACCGUACCAUGUUUUUUCACGUCAUUAUCCGUCCGUAUUCCUUAUUUGUUUUUGCAUUCAUAUCAUGUCCGUGCCGCUUCCAAACCAAUGGAAAUUGUGAAAUAAAAUAUGGUACUAUAUAAAAUCAUUAUCCGGUCCCGUUUUACAUAUAUGCUAUAUUCCUCAAGUAUGUACAUCGAUCGCGGUCUUGUAUGAUUCAAAAACAAAAACGAAAUAUCAGUAGAGAGCAAGCGUACAUGCACACGCAGGAUAUGCUUUCGUUGGUUAAUUCGGUGUACGUACGGACCACCGCGAUGUCUCUGCGCCCGUCGACGUCACACACGCUUACGUGAGUGCGUGCGUACAGUCGGUGAUUAAUCGAUCCGGAAACGUGCCAAUAUAGUCUGCAGCCGCGCCGGCUUUUUAUACUCCCUGCAAUCAAUGCACCCGGCCCUCUCGUUUCGGCCGAAAACUGCAUACCACGCUCGAUCGAAUCAUCCAAGUAUACAGAUACACACAUGCUUCUCGAUGACUCGAUCGAUGGACUUACGGUAUAAUCGUACAGUAGUUGCUUUCGCUUCCAGACGUAGGUACACGGAACGACGAACCGGGAAAAACGGCCCUCCUGCUCCUGGCUUGGAAUCAUUCCACCUCUGGUGGAAAUCCUGGACCACCCGUACGUCCAUAUGCUCCCUUGCGAGUUGCAGACACGUUAUACGUACUCAUGUAAUCGCUCCGUUUCAUAAAAAUUGACACGAUUUUAAAUCAGAACUAAGUUAAAAUCAUGUCAAUCUUCGUGAAACGGAGGAAGUACCUGACAGGAAUGCAUGCAGGGAUCAGGCACUCCAGUUUGGAGUUGGAACGGGGCACACAUGUGGAAAAAGUUUCGAACUAACAAGGUGGCGACUGCGACCAAAGCCAGAACCAUUUUUUGUCGAGCACGAUCGAUCGACCUGCAGCGCCAGAGCCACUAGAGGGCCCAGAUCAGCUUGCCCCGCCCCAAUUCCAUGCGUUCCGGUUGUUUCCUUUCGAGCCCCCUGCCCCAGUUGCCUGCCCUUUUAUCUCUCAGCGAUCAGUUACGUUCAUGCAUUCUUGGCCACACGUACCUACACUACAAUCGGUACUACUACGUACAUGCGAGAUAGCUAUGUCCCGAUCGAGCCUGCAAUUAACGGCAACUCGACCGAUCAAUCUGCAAGUAGAGACAGUAAUCUCGAAUUUGGUUCAAAAGCAGGCAGCGAAUCCUGGAACGACCAAGUUACACGGUACUCCUAUGUAAGCUAGUACUAGUACAACUAGUAGCAUGCCACCGGUGGAUCACUCACCUGGGGAUACAAAACCGUUCUCCUUCGAUUAGAGUCGUCUGCAUUAUUGACAGUUUCGAUGGACCAGGCAGACAGAAGCAAAGCCUGGAUGCGCGCGGGAUCCACUUGUCCAGCAAAAGGGCACGAAUCGGGGAGGUCACAGGACUUAAACAUACGAUAGGCCACGCGAGCCAAAGGCGUGCCGUACUGUGCUGCCCCUGCCUGGCCUGUCGUGUGAUGUGACAGAAAAAAAUUAAAGGGAGCGGCGAACCUGCGUUUCAUGAUCAUUGAUAGAUGGAUGGGUGGAUCGAGCUAGUAUUAAGCUGGUUGUGGUGUGUGUGUGUGGAGGGGGGUCUGUCUUUGAAAAGUCGACGCUGCAUGCGGACGUUCAGUUUCAAGUGGCGUGCAAGAUGUUCCUAGUGAAAAUGUGAAAUCAUGGGGGAAAUAGGCGAAGUUUGCAGGGUUGAACGGCACACCGCGUUUGGCUGACGGCUCUAUGCGCGGAUAUGAUGUUUUCUUUUUAACGAAUAUUCUGAUAUUUUUCAAUACCAAAACCGUAUUCGGAGUUAGCUGGCGUCUGAAUUUUAAACAGAAGACUUAAAUCUCCGGACUCUUGAAUUAAGAUCUAAGUGUCAUCCCCACUCUCUCUUCUCCCGCAUGCUGUUGUUGGAUUAAGAUCCAAUGUUCAAACACGUCAGCUGAUCGCUAACUAAGAAACAAGCGACUUCUUAAUAGCAAACCGUUUUCUGAAUCCCCACAUUCGAUAAUAAAAUUCCACCGGGAACCUACCAUGCUGUAUGCAGAUAUCGACCUUCUUUUUUUGGAUUGUGAUAAGUGUAUUUUCAUAGUUUAAAUAUUGUUCACGGUGCAAAUUCCGCCCUUGCGUGGCGGGUUAUUGGACAUUCAACUGUGGAUACCGAGCUUAGCAAAUUUUUGUCGAACUCUUUUUGGAAUGGAAUGGAUUAAUACAAUUUGACUAAGAGUCAUCAUUUUUAUGGUUUAGGGUGGUGGCUGCACCCCAAAACCUACCAAGGAUCGAACCCCAGGUUUGACCCUCGGCGUGUCUCAUUUGAGCCGAAUUUCUUUUGGCAGUAGGAGAUGCAAUCCGUUCACGCUUCACACUGAAGCGUCAGUGACUUCGUCGAUCUCAAAACGUUUUCACGAUUCUGGUCAUCCGUGUGAGUGUGUGCGCACGGCGGUGUACGUCGUGUGUGAUCAUUGUUCCUAAAAUAAAGUACUUCCUUCGUCUAACAAAGGAUGUCUGAAUUUUGAUUAAAUUUGAAUGCAUCUAUACAUCAAGUCAUGUCUACAUACAUCAACAUUUUGACAAACUUGAGACAUCUUUUGCUGGACGGUGAAAGUAUAGGAGCCCGGGAAUAGCCGCAUCUUAUUACAAGCAAUUAAUAUUUCGACCCUGAACCAGUUUGAGCUUAACCCCAGUGGAUCGGAAUCGGGUUCACUGAGCGAGCGAGCGCUCCAUUACAGAUUUUUACAGGCACUGAGGCACCGUCUCUUCCUGCUGCCCCCCUCCGGGGAGCUAGCUGCGUGCUAUGGACCGCCCAUUCGUGGAACGGGCUGUACCCACCAAUACCUACGUACCUGCGCGCCUGCCAUGCCACCCCUCUGCCACGGGGGGCUGUCGGCUCCAAAGAAUCAUGCAAUAAUUACCAGCUUCUUCUAUCGGCGGCAUACAGAGGAGAGGAUUGAGCUUUUGAGCAUCUCGUGUGCAGAGAGAAUCUCUCUGCCCGUUCGCGCCAGGUGGAUGUAUUUACUUGCGCCAGGAGCAAACGAGCAACUCGUGACCGCCUACGCACGUUUCCCCGACUAGACAAGUCAAUUGGUGAAAAUUGGUGAAAUUGGCAGCUAGCUUAUUUAUCCCUUUAUCCAUUCGCACCCACCCCACCCCGGCCACCCUCCGCGCUGCGCAUGCAUGCAUGUCCUCGUGGGCUCUCGAGGACUUGAAGUACGUACGUCGCAUGCAUGCAGAUAAGACGGAGCUAGAGAGAAAGCCUCUUCUUUUCGCUCGUGGCCCGGCAUGUGCAUGCCAAUGGCAAUGCCAGCGUCCCAGUCAGCUACUCUCUCCGUUCCAAAUUCUUGCCUCAAAUUUAUCCAAAAAUAAAUAUAUUUAUUUUUUAAAAACGUUUAUAUACAUGUAAUAGUCCGACAAAAAUUAUGAAACGGAAGGAAUACUGACCAUAGCUAUGGUCAGUACAACUCCUAGUGACAAGUGCAAGCAGGGGAAGUUCAUACUCUAUGUGGGAGGUGCAAUGCAUCUCUCGCUCUAAAGACGUGGUACUCCUAGACUACAGGACUACCACGUACUGGAUUCAUCGAGAUGUGAUGGAACGGUGUACCAGGGUGCGUGGCAUGCAUGUAGACGCCGGGCCGAUCGAUGUAUGUCGAGAGCGGGAUAUGGACAACGAAAAAGGGUGUGGGCAGGGUAGGUGUUCGAUCAAAAUCCACGGACAGUUCCAAACUGAGGAGACCAUGGGGAAACUACUGGACAUCGGGGGUAUAGUGUUCACGUGACGUCAGAACUGGGGAGAGCUACACAACCUCAAGUCGUCGUCUUCUGGUAAGCAAGAGGACCCUUGUUUGGGAGCGCAAUGCAAGUGCAGAUGUUGUGCAGGCGCAGCAGAGACGUGACCCUUGCAGAAGAAAACGCGAAGAGCCGGGUAUAGUGGAUAUGUGGAUGCGUGAAUUAUCGUGGGCCGGGCCGCUUCAAAGCCUGGUAACGCGUGUCGUCGUGGCCUGGCCCAGAUUAUGCUGCUCAUCCGUCCAGCUCGCAAUACAUGAAGAGAAGUUCAAAAACCCGCUGUCCACUUUUGCAUUUAUCCAACGUUUCCUUGAUGAUUUGUCUCUCAUUCGUGAUGUUGUCCAUGCUGUGACACCGGAGCCUCCUCCUGGUGGUGGUCGCCUUGUCCCGCCCACCAACCGCUGGUCUCCUCCGUCGGCUGGUAUGUGUAAAAUUAAUGCGGAUGCUGGAGUUGCAAGGUCAGGUGCAGGUGGUUCUUGUGCUGCGGUCUGUCGCGAUGAAUGUGGAAGAUUCAUGAGAGCCUCUUCGAUUACAAUCGAGGGCAUGACCGACCCUACAAUACUUGAAGCAUUGGCAUGUAAUGAAGGCUUGUCUCUGGCCUUGGACCUUAACAUCUCAAAAGUUUGUGUUGUUUCGUACUGCUUAACGGUUAUCAAGAGUCUACAACAAGAUGAUCUUUGCUAUUAUAGUGCGAUCAUUAAGGAUAUUGUGGCAAGGAAGGAUCAGUUCCGUGAUGCUGUUUUCAGACGUGAGAAGAGAACUCUUUAUAGAGAUGCUCAUAAUCUAGUUAGAGCGGAGUUACCGCUUUCUGUUGGCCAUCAUAUUUGGCUUUUAAGUACCCCAUGCAUUACUUGUAUUCCUGUUCAAGUUGGUGUUGAAUAAAGCUGGCCUUUCCCCUAAAAAUAAAAUAUCCGUCCAGCAGAACUGAAUCCCCAAUAGCGCGGUUACAAGACAAGAAUGAUUAUGUAAUUAUGUUCCUUGUUAUCGUUUCACUUUGCACCACAGAAAGAGUGCUCUGUUUGGCUCCACCAAGGCAAAAGGAAAGAGAAACAGGAACCGAGGAGUGUCUCAUUGUCAAUUACUAAUUCAGCCAACGAACCCAUAAAACAUGUACCGACGCAAAUGCAAUUCAUCAGAAGUGUUCUUCAAGGAAGAACACAGACAGGGUAUCGGACUACCGGUGACUAUGUUUGGAUAUCUUACAUGCUCAGAAUGCUGCGGGCGAGUUAACUGGGAAAUAAUUGAAGAUGAAGAAAGGACACAGCAAGUUACAUAAGCGGCAACAGAUUUUGCUAGAGUGGCACAGCAGUGGCAGGUGCUGGAACAUGCACCUCAAAUACAAUCAGGAACUCGAACUGUUUAUAGCUUUGGACACUUUCUUCCAUCGCAAAACACUUCGAGUUUGUUCUUAUCAAGCAAAUGGUUUUCGAUUAGGCCCAGAUAUGACAUGGUGUUAUUACAUGCAUAACAGCGCUGGCUUGUCAAGCACCACUGGCAUACAGGCGAGUCCACUCCUUCGCUGCAAAGCAAAAAAAAAAUUGACAUGUUAGGUACAAAAAGCAAUGAAAAGUGGAGCAAAAUGACAUGCUAGUGUAUCAAAGUGCAGUGUUAGCGUGCGGCUUUGUUGGCUGAAUUUUCAGUUACCUGUCUCGACAGCUUCAGCUUCAUUGGAUUUCCAGUGUUUUGCCACGUUUUCUGAGAGCGGAUCAUCUGGAUUCGGAGCGCUCAGCAGUGCCUGAAUGCUGCAGACCAAACAUUGUAAAGAGGCAAAAAAAAAAGAGUAUACAAUAGUGGAUACAAGAAGCAACCCUCUGGAAAUACGAUAAUAUGAUACGAUCAUGAACUAUAAUGAAACUAUUUGGCCAAACAUGCCACGGAAGACAGAAGAGGUUGCUACCUCAAAAGAACAGUACGUAUCUGAAGAGCUGGGCUCCAUUUGUCCUUCAGGAUAUCGAGGCAUAUCCUACCAAGCUGCAGUGCAAGUCAAUCCGAAAUGAGAAACUGUUAUCGAAUGAAGUUCCAUUGAGAAUAUCAGUUCCCUACCUUGUCAAUGUUGGGAUGGUAUAUUUUUGUGAGAAACCUAACCUGCGUCAGGAAUAACCAAAGAGUGAUGUCCAUCAGAAAGAAUCACAACAGAGACAACAUACAGAAAAGUCAAAUAGAAUUGUGUAACUACUUUGGUUAGACGACAGUGUCACACUAAAACUAAAACAACCAUGUUGAUAUCCGUAAGAGUAAAACAGUCCAAGGACAGGAGUUGAGAACAAAAUAUUCAGCUACCUCUUAUUUAACAUGAUGGAAAUUACUACUCCCUCCGAUCCAUAUUAAUUGUCGAAAUAUUACAUGUAUCUAGACAAUUUUUUAGCCAUAGAUACAUCCAUAUUUGGGCAAAUUUGAGACAAUUAAUAUGGAUCGGAGGGAGUAUUAGUCUGAGUCUCAGAUGAUAUAUCACAAUGUCAGUACACUCCAAAUAUAGCAUUGCCAAUUAAGUAAAGUAAAGUACGGAACUGUGCAAAGGAGAUUAGUUAAGUGAACGGAGAGAGAAAUCUAGUAUGGAUACGAAAAGUAUUAACACAAUACUAAACAUGGGCAUUCAGUAUUCCUGAUCACAAAGAUGGUAUGCAAAUCUAUUAAUGGUACAUAUCAACAACAAACAUGGGCGCUGCCCAAAAUAAGAUGUCACAAUAAAUUGCUGGUUUCGGUUAACCACAGGCAUAAUUAAACGUCCAUCCCACUGUCGCACCAUAGCAUGAUAAAAUCAUUGCGAAGAUCGCUCUGCCAGAUUUUGAACUCAAAUUUCAGUUACAACUUACAACUAGGAAAUGAACCAAAUUCCACAUCAAGGAGCCUACCGGGACAAGAAAAUCCAUCACAAUAUGUGUCAAACUAAUAACUUCUUAAACAACCAUCCACUAAUACUUGAUCAAAAAAUUACUUUUGGAGCAGCCAUCGGAUAUUCCUCAGGUAAGAAAAGUUCAAGCUUGAAAACUCCACCUGUCCAACACAUAUUAGAAGAAAUAUCAGGAGGACCAGACACAGACAACUAAACAAAAUAAUGUUUCACCCAAUUAAAAAUGUCAUAAGCAAAUACAGUAUACAAAGAUAAGUAAACCAAGCUUAAAUAAAUAAGAUAACAUAGUGACAAAUGUACUGUCUAACAAUAGGAAAACAGGUCGUUCUGUGUACCAUUUAUCAUAUACAUGCACCGCAUUUCAUUACUCCAUGUUGCAUGGAAACAUGGUAGAUAGUUCCUUGUGCCGUAUAUCAGUAAACUUCAGUAAUCGCAAAGGUUAAGGAAACCCAAGACAUUCAAUUCCCAUAGGUUACUGAUAUAUGGUACAGUUGUAGAUCUAGCAUGUUAAGGAAACUACAAACUUGUGCCCCAUAUCAUAUCUAAACUAAUAGCAGGUAUAACUGUUGAAGUAUAAGGUGAAUUGCCCUCAUUUCUCCAUCAGCUUAGGCUUUUAGGGGCACUGGUUCGGCCCAUAUGCAACUCUCCAUGGUAUCCGAGCCAAGAGGUCCCGAGUUCAAGCUCAAUAUAAUAAAAAGGCACUUUUGAUCCAUGAGGGGGAGUGUUGAAGUACGAAAUGAAUUGCACUCGUUUCCCCAUCAGCUUAGACUUUUGGGUGAACUGGUUCGGCACAAGCAACUCUACAAAAGGCAGUCUUCCUAUGUGGAAUAACUUCUACAAAUAAAAAACCAGGUUCACUAGAGCUUAAGAUAACCGAUGAAAUGGACUUGUCAAGCUAUAUUUUGUGAUGGAUUCAACAAAGCAGAAUCUCAAAGUAUAGAAUCCAAAAGGCACAGAAGAGUACAAUUACCACUGGAACAGCUGGGUACAAGAUGGUCGGAUUGCUGGUCUAGCAAACAUAAGUUUAGAAGUGUAUAGUUCCGGCAGCACUAGAACAACACCUUUAUGUGACCAUCCUGAUAUGAUCAUCCAUCUGUGAUGUUUUACUACAUAUUUGCAGCAUUUUACAAACAAAAAGAGCCAUAGAUACGAAAAUGGGGACGCGGUGACCACAGUUACAGUCCUAAAUUGCCACAGAACUACGCAUUCGUGCUCCAAAGUAUUACAGGGUUAUCGGCAUACGAAACAUUCCAACAGAAAUAAAAUGAAAAGGAGGUUUUACCUUCAUAAGGAGACUGCGCCGGACCAAGGACCAUGACAUUGAAGUAGCGCAUGUUCUCCUCCGACGGCGACGCGCUAAUCCCCGGCGCUGCACGCACCCCCCCAACACACGAAUCAGCACAAACAUCCGAGGCUCGAACGCGGACAACACAACAGGAGCAUCGAAUUCUAGGAAAACGAACCUGGUUCGCUGAGCAGCCGCUGCGUCUCCUGCAGCAGAUCCAAAUUCCGAACAGAUUAGGCACCACGCACAAGGAAUAACCAGACGAUAAGGUUAUCAUAUCGCGUUAGAGUCUCAGAAACGGCUGUAGAUCUGGGGGGGUGAGGGGCGAUCGGAUCGCGGGGUAGGGCGCGCGCACCUUGAUGAUCCGGCGCGGGAGGUUGCUGUUGGCCAUGGAGUCCGGCCGGGGCUGGAGCGAGAGCCUAGAGGGGAGGGGGGGAGGGACCGCCUCGAGCUUCGCGCGGCGACGGAGGAGAAGACAGCGCGAGAGAGGUCAAAGGAGUCGUCGAUCUGUCGGGGAGGGCGAGCCGGGGGAGGAGGCGACGAACGAACAGAAAUGGGUCAGGGUCCGAUACUGUGUACCACGUAUUUAUAAACUCCACGCUACAGCCGCUGCUGCUGAUAUUUUCCUUUUCCUCUUGAGCUGGUGUUUUCGUUUUAUACUCUACCGACCUGUUUGUUUGUCCUUCUAUUUCAGUUUUUUUGCAUCUGGCAAUCUUAAAAGCAUCUUUUCUGUUUACACGUGAAGCUGAGAGGCACCUCCGAACAUGCUAAACACUGUUUACACAUGAAGCUGAGAAGCACCUUCGGACGUGCUAAACAGAAAAAGUGCUUUUGAGAUUGCUAAAAGUACCAAAAACUGAAACAGAAGUCCAAACAAAUAGGCCCAGAGUCUGCUGGAUUGUGAAUUUGAAUACGCACACGGCGAAAUCAAAAUACGAAGUCAUGGCCACUAUGUUUAAAAUAAAAUUCGUGUACUUGGACAAAACAGAAGUUGUUCGGUGAAUAAAAAAACCCUAGAAAUGAUUUUCCGACGUAAUAAACGGUAUAAUAGUACUACUAGUAGUACGAGGGCUGCUGCAGCGGAGAUUAAAAAAAAACGGUGUUCGUUUUAGGUGAGCCAGGGAGAGCAUCUCUCCACGCGAAGGGAGCACACAAUUUAUGCAUGUGCAGAGAGAGAGAGCACGGAGAAGAACAACCUUUGGGUUUGCCUAAUUGCAACGGCCAACUUGUGACUUUGUGUUGUGCGCGCUCGUCGUGGAAGGAUCUCAGGCGAAAAGGAAGGUGGGGGAAAGCUCGAUUAUUCUCCGCAGCUUCAAUCCCACGCUAAGCCGCCUGGUCGAAAAGGUUUGGCUGGCCAAACCGGUUUUGCAUGGUACUCCGUAACAUGUUUUUCAAGUUUUUUAGAACUUUGGAGGAACUCGAAACAAAUUGAGAGCAUACGCUUUCUAAGAGUUGAAAAGUAUUAUUUUCGAAGCACGGGCAGUCGGGCACGGGCAUCAGAGCAUCUCCGUUGCCAGUCGCUCGAAGCGAAGAGAAAUCACGCACUUCCUCUGCUACCGAAGCGAAGGCAGGAACAAGAACAACAGCGACGAGACACAGCCAGAAAUUCGGCAUAGUAUUUGCUCAGGGCUAGAUUCCACUGUAUUCGCUGUAAUCUGGUAAAGCAUGUCGCAUGUGCCCAGACUACAGGAGGAUUUCAAGACAAGUAUCCAGUCCUGUCUUAUUUACAACAGAUAGCGUGCAAAACUAUGCUCAAGAAUCAAGAUAGAUAAAUAACACUGGAUUUCCCCAGUACUUGCUACUUCACCGAACUACGGAGUACAACUGGUAAAGAAUAGUUUCACAAGUCGGAUCCUGAGAUCACAAUGAAAGAGAAGAUACAACAGGGAGUAUUAAAUCUGCACAUGAUCACAAGGAAAUCCAGAUGCACAUGAAUCCAGACAAUAGGAAGAACAGGGAACAGUUUGACAUAUUUUUUCUAAUAAAACAGAAGGUCAGAGUUGCAUGCCUACAUUGUCAACAAAAUAAUAGAUGAAUUGCACGAACAUACCUCAACGACUCAAUGUCAACAUGGAUUUACACUAACAAUUUUUAGUCUUUGACCUUUCAUACUCUUCAGAAUUAAUUAUUACCAGACUAAAAACUACAAUGCACCUAAGAACACGAGCUUUCGCUUCAGAAUAUCCCAAGGAUGGUGGGGGCAGGUGGAGCACGCCAUCAUUGGAGAGCAAGAGCAACGCCAUGUCAUUAACUGAUCAUCUUCAAAUGAUAAUCUGUAGAAGAGACAAUGGACAAGAGUCAAUUGAUCGCUUCACCAAACAGUAACAUUACAAAUUUGCUAUACAGGCUCCAAACAAACUGAUUUUCUAUCAGUCUACGCUUAAACAUAGCAGUUAACAGGGGCAAAGCUUAACACAGGCCCAUCAGCAAUCAUGCAGAGAACAAGGCAAGGCAGAUCAUCCAUGGGAAUCACACAACAAUCCACAAGGAAGCAUGCAUUACAUUCUUUGGAAAGCCAAUCAAGAGAAAUCUGGGUUCAGCGAUCGGAAAGAUUUACAAUGGAUAAGAUAUGUCAAAAUUUCAGUACUGGAAACUUCAGUUACAAAGCAAUUUGAUAAAUCUUACAUGCCAAGACAAGUAUAGAAGAUAUAUCUUUAUAUAAUAAUACUGACUCGUAAUUGUUAGGCUUACAGCAAAAAAAAGGUUAAGUUUCAUUAAACAAGCUUAUUUAUCGGUCUCUGAGGAGCUGGGUUACCUGUAGAUAAAUGGGACCAGAAACUAAGAGGUUACCUGUUGACUCAAGCUUAUGCUUAUUUUGGCGAUACACGUACUCUUAGGCUGGACAUAAUUCACCCUAACGAUUCUCACUAAGACAUGAGAAAGGAAUUCUAGUACGGAAAGGAAGUGAAAACCAGCGCAUGUGCAUCCAAGUGACUCCUAGUGAAACAGCACAGAGAGUGUCCCAGAUCGAUUUUAACUCUGAGUCACCAAGUGGUUCGUCGGUAUCAAUUUGAUCCUAACAGAUUCCAGGCAAUACCAUCAUAUGUCACCCAGUCAUGAUUUCCAGGAAAAGAAUAUAAGUAUUUUCAUCAUACAGACAGAAUUGAAGAAAAACUAUUAUUAGACCAUACAUUAUGGUCUUUCAUUUGUCAUGACAAAAAUGUACUCCCUCCGAUCCAUAAAAGGUGACGCCCAUUUUGUACUAAGUUAGCACAAAUUUUGUACUAGGUGGGCGACACAUUUUAUGGAUCGGAGGGAGUAAUAAGAAACACUAAAAGCUCAAGAUAGAAACUAUGAUUAGUUAGUUCAAUCUUUUAAUAACACCUAUGACAUAACAGAGCUGCACAAUUAUAAUUCUGUAAAUUUUAUCACACCCAAAAACCCAGAGAACCAAACGAUAAGAUACAUAAGUACUUAAAUCUACAAUCAUAACGAGAUGGUCAACAUAUCUCAUCAAUGCACAAAAUUAAAUAGAAAAACACACGACGAAAACAUCCACCAAACAUUAUCUACUGAAGACACAAAAUAUAAAUAGAAUCUCACAAAGCCUACACCAGGAUAGAUCUUAUAUGUGAAUAUCAAUGCUCAACAGGACCGAAAGCCUUAUUUAUGAAGGUUAUCGCACAUUUGGGCUAAGGCCAUUGUAACAUAAAAUAGUCCAAAAUGCACAACAUAUGGGGUGGUCGGACUUCGGCAACGAAACUUCAGACAUACUCGCUAGAUUUUCCGAAGCAACAGUAUCUAAACUUUUUUGUUGCUAAUCCUCCGCAGCAACUCGAGCCAAUUGUUUACCAAGAUCCUUAUCGAGAUUAGCUAGAUUAUUAAACCUUGACUGUAGAUAAACGGACAUGUAUGUAACAUAUUGCUCAGAACAAUCAAGUCGGGCUCACCCAAGCUUGUUUACACCCAUAUGAAGGAAAGGCUUAUUGAAUUGCAUUGUCAGGAAAUCAGCACUUCCCCAAACAAACUGAAAGUACCUUUAUUCCACAACCUAUAAACAUCAAUGGAUAUACUCAGAACACAACAGCUUACAUGUGUGGACCUUCCCACCAUUAAGGCCAAACAUAGUAACAAUAAGUUCCACUUAUUAAAAUGUCAUUGUAUACAAGAAUGUCAGAUUAAAUUAUGCCUCUACACAAGCAUACCAAUCCUGUCACUAUCACUGAAAGUCUGAAACAUUAACUAACAGCCAACAUCAUGCCACAUAACUUGUAAUUUUAGCACAUCAACAUUAGCAUUACAGAAACAAUAGUAGCCACAGAUCACAUAAACGAACAAAAACAAUCUACAGCAAUGUUCUAAACUGAAAUGCUAAAACAUACUUUACCUAAAACCCUCGUCCGCAUCAGAGGUAAUUGGAGUUGGAAAGGAAAGGCAGCGCAGCAACGGAUGAAAUCAGCUCCACUCCACCAGCACCAUUGGAUGCAGCCCCUCCGCUCUUCUUCGUGCGCUUCACCCUUGCGAGCUUCACGUGCGCAUCGACGAAGUUCUCCAUGCGCUUCACCUCCAGCUGCUUCAGGAAGUCAAUUCGCUCGCGUUCCAUCUCUAGCGAAUGCUUUUGUUUCGCACUCUCCACGCGCUCAUACAUCUCUGCAAAAGCCUCAAUUGCCCUCGCCAGCUCGCUGACACCACUAUCCCCAUCACCGCCAGCCUCGCGACGAAAGGGACGCUUGUUGCUACCGCCGGAGCGCGCCGACGAGACAGAACGCGACGGUGACCUCCGCAAGUUGUCAUGGUGGUUGUUGUUGUUGUUACCACCAGGAUGAUCACCAGAGUCCUCCGAAUCAGACACCGCUGCAGCGGCGGCAGCGGCUUCCUGCUGGAUGAACGCAGCGGCAGGGAGCAGCGCCCCGCGGCGGUAGCUGGGGAGGGGCAGAGCCAUGGGCGGGGGCGGGGACGGCGAGGAAGAAGGCGACGGGUACUUCCUCGCGGCGGUAGAAGAAGGAUGGACGGGCAGGGCGAGGUGCGGGGCCAUCGCCGGCGAGGGCCGCUUGUUGGCGGCGGAGUUGAGGGUGGGGCCGACGAGUCGGUCGAGCUCGUCGAAGAAGCUCCAGCCCGACGGCGCGCCGCGGACGCGCUCGGCCUUGUACUUCUUCUUGAGGGUGUCGACGCGGUUCUUGCACUGCACGUCGGUGCGCGGCGGGCGGCGGCGCGCGGCGGCCCCGCGGCGCGAGUUGACGGCGUUGGCCACCUCCUGCCACUGCUUCUGGCGCAGGUUGCCGCGGUUGAGCUCCACGUAGCGGCUGCCCCACGCGUCCACCAGCGCCGCCGUCUCGCCCUCGCUCCAGCAGUCCUCCCGGUAGGGCAGGUUAGGGUUGGGCGGCGGCAGCCUCCCAAACCCUCCCCCUCCUCCUCCUCCCCCUCCUCCCGCCGCCGCCGCAGCAGCAGCCGCAGCCAUCUCCCUCACCUCCAUCGGAACCAGAUCUCGCAGGAGCAAACCCUAACCCUAGCUAGCCCGCCCGCCGAGAGAAGAGGACCGAGCGAGCCUCGGGGAAGUCGCGCGUGACGGUGGGCUAUGUGAGCGGUGGGGGGUUCGGGGUUGGAAUAAAAGGACACGGCGAGGGAAGGGGGGAGGUGGGGUCGCCGGCCGCGAGGGGUCCGGGUUCCGUCCGUCACGCACGCGGCACGUGACGCGUGACCGGCGAGGGGGGGGCGGCAUCGGCAUGGCAUAUCUCGCUCGCUCUCGUGUGUCGUGGGUGACCGGAUUCGGAUCGGAGACGUGCCGCCGUUGGAUUGCGUUUGACCGGGUAACCGGCGAUUACUUUCGGGUUUCGGAGGGCGGGUGGGAUAAUGACAGCCAGCCAGGCACAGGCAAAGCAGAGCGCGGCGACAGGCGACAGCCGGAGACCGGACGGAAUACGGUGGCUGGCGCGGGGGUGGGAAAUUACCGCGUUGCCCCUACCCCGGGGAGCAGGCCGGGGCGGCACGCGGCAGGGGCAAGGCGGGGAUUUCGCGUGGGGCGGCGCGGUGUCAGGGGGUGAGCUGGUCGCCGUUGGUCGGUUUGCGUUUCGGGGCCGCCGAAAGAGGGGAGAGGAGAGAGAGAGAAACGCGCCGAGGAUGAUGGGGAAGGGAGAGGAGACUCGCGAACCGAAGACACCGCUGCUCCUCGCUCUGUACUCCAGUCUAGGCUUCUAGCUAGACUCGGCGCGGUGGAGUGGGUGGGUGAAGAGACUGAGGCGCGGGGCCCGCGUGCAAGCAGGCAGGGCGGGCAAUUAUUGUCGCCUCUGGUGCCGUCGCUCGGUACAGAGGACGGACGGACGGACGGCGUGGGCAAAAUUUAAUCGGCGUGCAGCAGGUGCCGGCUGCCGCCUGCAGGCGCCGGUCCUUCGGAUUGAUCGGUGGAUGGAUGCACUCGCCAAUGGCAAUUCAUCCAUCAAACAUCAUUCGUUACUGUAUAUUUUGUGGCAAAUCAAGAUUAGAGGUUCAUCAUCCGUUUACCGUUUUGGUUUGUCCCCUGGCGUCAUCAUCACCGUCUGGGCUUUGGAACUGACAAUAUGGUUCUUUCGGUGAAAUUCAGGUGAAAGUAAAACUCCACCGGUAGAUAGCAGCGGCCAUGGUGCCGUCGUGGGAACAGAGCAGUACGUACGUUACGGGCUCGCGUCAAAUCCUCGACGGAACCGUGCCCGCUGCACCGGUGGGUGAACAGAACACCAUAAAUCCCUCGCGGCCGUGGAGAGAAGUCAGGGGAACCGCGUGUACGUACGUGGUCCUCUCCUGCUAGCUAUAGCUAGGCUGCCCCGUGCGACCGGCGGCGAGGAAACGGCACGCUCGGGAGCCGUCAACAUUGAAUCGGAGGGCCGGGCGGCCGCGAUAGCGUAGCGACCAGCGAGAUACUCAGUCAGUACGGGCUACUUCGGGCUGUCACGCACGCACCGAGCCGGACGGCCGGGCCGACGCGUCGGGCUUGGGAACCACCGGCGCCGCAGGGGCGGGCUCGGACCGCGUCCAACGCCGCAGGCUUUGCAAAGCUUGCGUUGCGUGUACCCCACGCUACCACGCGGGUCCCCUCCACCAAUCAAUUCCAGGCCGGACGGACGGCCGGUACCGUGUACCGACGCGUCGCCCGCCGGAUCUCCGUGGCGUUUUCCUUUGCCUUUAGUUGUGUACCCGCCCCGCUUCACGCCGGCCUUGUGCGGCAGUUGUGUACACACACGCACGCACUUGUACUACUACUGGUGGCCUUGGACUUUGCUGGUUGCUGGUGCGCACCCAGCUUUUUGCGAACGGUUCCGGGAAACGCCGGCGGAAACUUGUGCGGCGGGUCGGUCGGUUGCCGGGGAAGGAAGGAUUCUUCACACAAGCAACGUGAGAUCUGACCAAGGGGAGCAGCAGCCAGCCAGCACGAGCAGCAGUUCGGCGCUGGAGCUACGCGCGAGCUGGGGCAGGAGCUACACGCCAUGUACGUUGCGUCCCCGGGCCGGUUUGAUUUACGACCGGAAGAGCCGCAGCGUUUCCGGCGCGAUGACCGGACAAAUUAGCCGGCUUGGCCGAUGGCUAUACUAUAUCGGAUUGGACAUAUGGAGUGAUAGUGCUCCCGACAGGUAGGAGACGGACGGACGAGAGCGAGUAAACUGCUGCCUGCGACUCUGCGAGUCCUGCCGUGCACGGCUCCAUGGACGGACCGCACGUCCAUGGCCUGUGUAGCUCCGACCGCACCGGACGCAGGCAAGCGGGACGUGCUGUUCAUCCUGCAGACGGGACUGACCCAAGUUAUUGGAGACGCGUCGGCAUUGAAGCCUUUUCCAUUCUCAGGAGCAUGACGUAAUCACGGGAUCACGCACGGCGUGGGCAAAAGAUUACCAGCCGCGCCGCGCGUGCCUGACUGCCUGUGCAGCUGUGCUAUUUUGAGUGCAGAAUACAGUUCUUCAGAACCGCGCCUGUUUUUUGAGGCUAACUGAACAUGCAGUUCCAUACAAUUUCAAAACUCUACGUAUAAUACGGAAGGGUAAAAGAUACUGAGGCGGUCGAGACCACUGUCGCGACACGCGAAGCCUGAAAUCGUAGCGGAUUUACUUUUUCUUUCUCUCGGGGCAACGUCCAGCAACAGCAAGUGACUGCUUGCCGGUUCAUCUGGCCGGACUGAAGGUGCAGAACUAUCUGCUUCCAUGACCAUGUCAUCUUACUGAACUGAUGUUGAUGUUGAUCGAACGGAAACUUGGUAUUAGUGCAAUUUGCAUUUGGUAGACGGGGGGUGGGAUGAAGAAGCUGCAGCGCAUUGGUCAGGGCAGCAGAUGGAAAACGCUGGAGACGGAGGUCAAAGAAGACGCGCGUAAAGGAACCGGUCAGAACAGUGACUUCCUUACUGGAUUUAGGUGACAGGCUGAAAAUUGUUUAUACUUUGGCACGUUGCCUGGGACACAGCAGUGGACAAGUUCGGUUCGGAGAAUUCUAUCCUCCAGUCAUGUUCCUUCUCGGUGAUUAACUAUCAGCUCAUCUGCCAAUCACAUGUUCUGUGGUGACAGCAGCCAGCAAAAAUAACCGAACGGAUUAGUGAUCGCCUAGAUUAUGUAGCUCAAUUUGCAUGCGUAGUUUCAAACGGUAUAAAACGAUGCCUUCGAAGAAAUGGGAGUAGUAAAAAACAUGUGGACUCGAUUUGGGCCGGGCCGCGAUAUCUUCGGUUCUCCACCCUCUUACGCGCAGCGUUUCUUCUCAGUGUCUGCUCAUCACUUGCGUUAGCUUGUAUUGUUUGCCUUCGCUUAAUAUUAGUGCCAUGUUAUCAUGGCUCCAUCGCCCAGUCGAACGCCGGCUAUCAGUUCAAAUUAUGGAUAGUCUAUUGGCUUUGAAUAAUGCGUGUCCUUGCUCUGAUUCCGUUGAGUGUCAUUCCAAGAGUAGGUAUCUAUCAGAAGAAUUUUCAGCAAAUGUCAGUGCUGCUUGAAGUCAACGAGUACUAAUCACAACAUGUGUGAACAUUUGCCAUCCUCCUGCGGUGCACUCUGACCUGCAUUGGAGAGCUGUAUUGCAGCCUGAAGGUCUUCUUCUCUAUUCUACUUCUACAUAUCUACCCACGUGUAUAUGCAGUAUCCUCCGAUGGUUUAGCCCAUGGGCAAUGCAGUUGUCUGCUUCAAUUCUUGGUGUUUCAGAACUAGUAGUACUACUAGAUAUGAUCAGUAUGCUGGGGACAGGACAGUAUGAAUGUACGAUAGAUAAGGUCCUAGAACAUGGGCCACAGGUUAUGCAGAUCGCAGACACGAGUGUUUGGCUGGAACUGAUCUCCGAAUGCGAGACUCCGAGAAACGUUGAUGCCGCUUUCUGUCGAUCACCUUGAGCCAUUGUCCGUCUGCUGGCCUGGCAGGGAAAGUCUACGGAAUGCCAUCUCGAAAGCCAUGGAAAUUCUGUUUUGCCUGACAGAACUCUGGCGUACAUGAGCAACAGCGACCGGAGCGUGGUUUGCCUGCGUGCUUGACUGUAUGGUCACGACGAACACGAGGUGGCGACCAUCCGCCGCGUUAUCCAGGACUGCACCCGUCAGAGAAGGAUCCUUCACUUUUUGGGAAUCCAAUCACUUCGGGAUCCAUCAGAGCAGAAGACACGGCCAUUUCGCCGGCGGCUUUCCCCAUACAGUGCACAUCUCGUGAACUUCCGUCCAUAUUUUCUGGCCAAAUUUGCAAAGGAUUUGUGCUUUUCAGAGUGCAGCAAACGUAGCAAUACCAGGAAACUACGGAGUAGAAUAGGAAGGAACGUACGCCUGUUUGUUCGGGCGGCAAAGUCAGAGCGACACUCUCUCUACUUUGUUUGUUCGUCAGGCCAGGACGCCCGCCAAACCCGACAUGGAUAACUCCAUUAUUGACGAUGGAAAGUAGAAAUCUGACCCCGGGGGCACUAGCAGACGACACUAUCCACAUUGUCUUCACACACCGAGAAUAUGACAAAAUAACAUGCAUUCUUAAUUCACCUAUCGUCCCCAGUACACACCAUCAGAAAACAUCUUCGAUCUUCUAAGGCGUGGAUGCAUUAGGGGUGCGUAUAAAAAUAAUCAUACUCCUUCCGAUACAUAAAAAGUUUCCCACAUUUAGUACAAAAUAUGUACUCCCUCCGUCGAACAAAGGAUGUUUCAACUUUGAUUAAAUUUGAAUGCAUCUAUACACUAAGUCAUGUCUAGAUACAUUUAAAUUUUGACAAACUUGAGACAUCUUUUGUUGGACGGAGGGAGUACUAAUUUUAGUACAAAAUGUGUGACACUUUUUAUGAAUGGGGGGAGUAUCUCCUAGACUCUUUUGAUUCAAAUGAGUUAAUCCUUCAGAAUUUUUUCUAUGUAGGCUUAUUUCAUUCGUAGGAUUAGAUUUUAGUGGAAAUUUGCCUAUGGUUCACUUUGCACUGCAGUGAUGCAAACCAGAUUCCGCGAAAACCCACUUCUAGUUCAUUUUUCAAAUCUUCAAUUCAAAUUUUGAGCAAAAAUUUGGAUAAAAGACUUGAGAAUUGAACUAAAAGUUGACCAUCAAUGGGAUCCCGUUUGCAUCUCUACUGCUCUCAAUUCCAAAGUAAAUUUUCCAUCUAAAUCUAAUCACUUGAAAAAAUUCCUUUGUUUCCAUGAUAACUAUACCAAUGCACGUAAUGUUUUUCUCUGUUUUUCCUCUAAUGCUAGAUUGAGUCUGUUUUUCCUUUAAUGUUUUUCCAACUCGAUUAGUUUAUUCAGGUGGUUUCUUCCUGUAGAAAACAACAUAUCAUGACAUUUCAAUCUUGUGUUUGCUAUUUCAGGGCUCAUUCACUCUACAUGCGUUUUAGAUGAUUUUUCUACAAGAUUUCAACUCUUACACCUUGUUUGGCACAUGUGGGUUUCUUACGUUUUCUAUUUCUACUCUACAAUCUUAAAAUCAUGUUCUCCUUCUGACCUUUGUUCUCAAAUUUAUCUAAAUACGGAUGUAUCUAUGUUUAAAAAAUGUCUAUAUAUAUUUAUAAUAUUUCAGUAACUAAUAUGAAUCGGAGCAACUAACUCGAACGAGCCCUCGGUGUUUGAAUAUUUAAAUACUCCUGAAUGCAAGUAUAGUUCUGCACUCCUACUGCAGCUUGCUACCACGAAACUAAACAUUUCUCUUUCUGCAGCCCCCGACUCGAUCUAGCCGCAGUCCAUGUCGUUCUUUUCGCCCUGGCGUGUGCAAGAGUCGAACCCAUAGUGUGAACAAUUGAGUUAGGCACGAGCCGGAGAGGAGGAGAAAGGACAAAUUAUUGCUCAGAUUAAUCAUCACCUCGAUCGUUGCGGCGCAAUACCGUUAUAUAACGACGGAAUACGGGCCCACACGUCAGUGUAAAGCGAGCUGCUUGCCGCUUUCUCCCUCUUGCGUGACGCCGUCGCCGUCCAGAGCCAUCUGGCCACCGGGCUCCCAGCCCCCCACAGAUGUGCCCCCUGCAUGCGCGCCAUGUAUCAGCCUCUGAUACGUCAGGCCAGGAACCAUCCUCAGCCGUCAGUUCGUCCAUCUCGACGGCUGCGAUCGCGCUGCCGCCACUUAUAAAUAGCACCGAUGCACGCGCGAGAAAGUCCGUUUUACCUUGCUGGGGGGGGGGGGUUUUACUUACAUGAGCGCGGGAAUGGAGGCGGAGCUGGAGGCGGCUCAGCGGCGCUUCCGGCUCUGGUUCCGCGGGCUGCGUUCCCUGCGGCGGGACCUCCGGUCGGCCCGCUGGGCCGGCGACGACCCGGCCCAGCUGGGGAAGCUGGCGGGCGGCUUCGUGGCCCACUUCUCCGACUACUGCGCCGCGCGGGCCGAGCUGGACCCGGUCCUGCUGCUGUCGGCGCCCUGGGCGAGCCCCGCGGAGCGUGGCGCCGCCUACUGGCUGGCCGGGUGGCGGCCGACCACGGUGGUCCACCUGCUGUACACCGAGUCCAGCCGCCGGUUCGAGGCGCAGCUCCCUGACCUGCUCCUGGGCGUGCGGUCGGGCAACCUGGGCGACCUCAGCCCGGCCCAGCUGGCCCAGAUCGACGAGCUCCAGCGCCGCGCCGUCGCCGAGGAAGACGCGCUCUCAAGGGAGAUGGCGCGGCUGCAGGAGGGCCACGGCGUCGUUGGCGGAGACGGGGAUCUGGACGUGGAGGGGAUCGUGAGGCGCGCCGGGGCCGUGGUGGCAGGGGCCGACGCGCUGCGGCUGCGCACCUUGAAGCGCGCCGUGGAGAUCCUCGAGCCGGCGCAGGCCGCCGAGCUGCUCGUCGCCAUGGCCGACAUGGAGAUCGGCUUCCGGGAGUUCGGGCUAAAGCACGGCGACGGCGGUGGCGAGCCGAGCCGCGGCGCGUAGGCAUAGGCGUGGCGCGGUCCAGAGAGCAGAUCCUCAUCCGCAUCGGCGGCUCGGCCCAGUUUUUUUCUUCCAAGUGUUUGCGCUGGUUUGACUGGGACAGAAAGACUGCUCACUGUUGUAAUCUUGUUGCCGUGACGAUUGUCUUUGCCGAACUGUCUCGCGGUGGGUGCUGCGUCGUAGCUGGACCGUGUGCGUGUGCGUGUGCGUGCGCGUGCGCCUGCUGGGAUGUCGUGUGAGAAAGCAAUAAAAUGCAAGGAAUGCAUGCUUGGUUUCGUUGAGAAGUCAUAUUUUGUUUUCGAGCAAGCGGUUUUUUUAACAUCUUUUCCGAUAAAUUGGCUGUUUGUCUGUUCACUACAGAAGACCCGUCCUUUUAAAAACGGUUUUGCUAUUAAUAAAUCCAUGUUUUAGUUAGAGUAGUCAUAGGAUUUUAAUCCAAUGAUAGCAAGUGAGAGAUGAGAGAACGAGGAUGACUCUCAGAUCUCCAGCAGUUAUGAAACGUCGACUGAUAUUUAAGGUUCAUUUUUUAAAAACUUGCGACUUAGAAAUAGCCAUACCCAUUUAAAAAACGUGUUAAAUCUUAUUAAAAUAAGAUUCUGAUCGAUAACUUAUUUUUAAUAGGUAUUGCUACGGAAAAGUUGUUUUUCUAGUUAAAGAUAAGUUGAAACACCAACUGUCAUAUCUUGAUCCAACGGCGGCACAUUGAAGAUGGGGUGUAGCUGCUAGCUUCGGCAUUGAAGAUGGCGUCAUGGUAGGGAGAAGCUAUCAAGUUAUCCGAGAUAGAGGAGGCACUGAUGGAACACAUCCGCUUGCUAGGCUUGUAAUCGGACAAAUAAUUCAAACAGCUUUGCUAUUCAUAAGACAAUUGAGAAAUAAUUAUUUUCAAGCCGACGCUAACAAUCGUUUAAUCCAAUCUCUGAUAUGUGUGAGAUCUAUACAAGUGUUGUUGACUGAAAAUAACUGCUUCCUCCGCGCCUGGAUACUCGUCGUGGUCCGGAAAUCCAACCAGUUGUUCGUUCGAGCCAGAUCCAAACGACACCGGACAGACAACCACGGGCGGUUCUACCGUGCCGCACGGUCACGCGCCCAAUUAACCGGCCACACGGCCAAGCGAAUCCAGGAUUAAAAAUAGGAAUCGCGUACAAUUACCGGCCACCCAGCCAGGCAGCCCGCAACGAUAAACCAGCAGUCUCCCGCUCCAUGUUUGGGAGCCAUGCCCAACUACAAACCCAACGUUUCCAAGCUGGCCGCCGCGCCCCGCGACAUCCACACGGCAGAUUAACCCUUCUUCUCCUUUCCUUCCUUCCUCCCUCUCCGCGCGCGCGCGACCUCCCGCAGACCCGCCUCCGCGAAUCUAGCCACCCCCGCGCGUGCGCCACGCACCGUCCGUCCGUCGGACCUCGGCCGGGCCGGCCCGCGGUCGUCGGCGCGCGGAGGGCGUUCGUGAGAAUGCGUGCGGCGGCGAUUGGUUGCUAGCUAGCUAGCGGCAUGCCUGGCAUGAGCGCGUGAUGGCGCCGCCGUUCCUGAAGACCGGGCACGGCCGCGACAGGUUCUCCUUCAGGCGGCGGAAAUCGUCCUCCUCCUCGUCCUCCUCGUCGACGCCGUCUUCUCCGCUCUCGGUGUCGUCCACAGCGUCGGAGGACAUCGCCGACCCGGGCAGCCCCAUGGAGUCGUCAGCGACGACGGGCAAGACGCUGCCCUGCGCCCGGCGGGCGCUCUCGCGGAGCAGCUGCGGGUCCAGGGGCAAGCUGUCCGUCGACCUGAUCCCGCCGCCGCUCGCCGGCGGCCCGUCCGACGCGCCCAGGUCCUCCACCUCCGCCGCGCCGCCCCCCAAGCCUCCCCCCCGCAACGAGGGCCCGCCUUCAGGUCUCACCAUUGUUAAUUUUCUAGUGUCUGUCUGACUUUCUGUCGUCAAAUGCAGAGAAAUGCCUUGUUAUGUUUUCGUGAUCGAUUGCAUGUAUCCAGAUGCUGACAUCGUGAGGGACAAGUUCUCCAAGCUGCUGCUGGGGGAGGACAUGUCCGGCACCGGCAAAGGGGUGUCCUCUGCCCUCGCUCUCUCCAACGCCAUCACCAAUCUUGCAGGUAAUCUCUCCCUUACCUUCCAUUUCCGAUCUUUCCAUUUCCAAUAACAGUCCCUGUCUUUCAAAUCUUCCCAUUCUGUCCGUUGGGUUCUGAUGGAUACUGACACGAUCAGCUAUGAUUUCUUUCUCAUGACGUGGCACAUUGCAGCUUCCGUGUUCGGUGAGCAGCGGCGUCUCCAGCCGAUGGCCGCAGAGCCGAAGGCCCGAUGGACAAAAGAAAUUGACUGGCUUCUGUCCGUUGCCGACCACAUCGUCGAAUUCGUUCCUUCACGUCAGGUGUCCGAGGAUGGCUCCACCAUGGAGGUCAGAAACAAGAGGAUCCUUGCUUAUCACAAGUACCUGGAUGUAGUUCUGUAUCACGGAACAUCUUUAUGCAAAUCCAAUUACAGCGGUGCUAUUUUUCUCUCUCUCCCCCCAAACAGAUAAUGAUGACUCAGCAGCGUAAGGAUCUGCAGAUGAACAUCCCCGCACUGCGCAAGCUCGACGGGAUGCUCCUUGUAAAGCUCUGCCACAUUCUUCUUUGAAAUCAUUUACGAGAAUGACAUGCGUGGAGAUACCUGAUGAAUUGCUAAUAUGCUAUGGCUGCACAUUUCCUGUUGUGGGGGCACAGAGCUAUCUUGACAGCUUCAGGGACAAGCAGGAGUUUUGGUACGUGUCGAAAGACGCAGAUGACUCGGAGAAGGGAGACGCGCCGAAGCAGGAUGACAAGUGGUGGCUCCCGACUGUCAGGGUCCCUCCUAAUGGUCUGUCGGACUCGUCGAGGAGGUGGCUUCUACACCAGAGGGAGCUCGUCGGCCAAGUCCAUAAGGCAACAAUGGCCAUCAAUGCUAAUGUUCUUAUGGAGAUGGAUGUUCCAGAAGCCUAUAUGGAGUCUCUGCCUAAGGUGACCCAUAUGAACACAGCAACAUUGCAUAACAUUUUUCUUUACUUCGGUUCACUGCAUUUAGAGGGAUCGAGACUCACUUUGACAGCAUCUUCUUUUUUUAUGCUUGAUAGAAUGGAAAGUCUAGCCUUGGAGACUCAAUGUACAAGCUUAUAACUGACGAAUAUUUUGACCCAGAAGAACUCAUAGCAUCAGUAGACUUGUCAGCCGAGUACAGCAUCGUUGAUCUGAAGAACCGAAUCGAAGCCUCGAUUGUCAUUUGGCAGAAGAAAAUGACGCAGAAGGAUGCCAAGAUGUGGGGGCAUGGUGUCAGUCAUGAGAAGCGGGGACGGUUUGAGGGGAGGGCGGAGAAUGUUCUUCUCCUCCUUAAGCACAGAUUCCCCGGAAUUUCUCAGUCAGCUCUGGACAUAAGCAAAAUCCAGUACAACAGGGUACUGGCAACCAUCUUCAAUUUUCCACUGUAUUUUCGGAUUUCCUACAGUACUUUAUUACUCAUGCUCAUUGCAUACAUUUUCUCGUUGUGAUUUUUUUGCAGGAUGUUGGCAGUGCCAUUUUGGAGAGCUACUCCAGGACUCUUGAGAGUCUAGCAUACACGGUUAUGUCUCGCAUCGAAGACGUUCUUCGCGCCGACUCCCUUGCUCAAGACCCCAAGAACGCGGAGGCGACGAGAAUGCCGAGCUUAUCAUCAGAUGACACAGACACGGUCGUCCAAGAUGCCAAGGACGAGGUGGAGAGGCUGGGAAGAAUGGAGCCUCUGAACUCGACACUAUUCGACUACGUGGGCCCACGGGACGGAGAUAUCGGGCCCAUGAUGUCGGAUUCACAGGAACCUCGGGGUGCAAAGCUGUCAAAGGUUUCGUCGAUCGCAACCAAGAGGUUCUCCUACCUAGAUAAGCUUGAGAAUUUGGGUGGAACAAGGAGCCCCAUAUCUAGACACUAGUCGCUGCCGUAGGGGAAAAGACGAUCAAUAUGGUGUUGAUGUUGCUGCAGAGACUCCGGGGAAAACUGCACGUAAAUAGCUCCGCAAAAACUGAGGGUGCAGCAUGCAUUGUGAGGUUUAUGUAAGCUUUCAAGCUUUCAGGCACCAAUACCUCCAAUUUGGUGCAGUUGCCAAGACAAUGUGAUGACGAUUCUCCUGCUAAAUUUACAUGAAAUAACCACAAGAUUCUGACACUGGACCUGAAAAUGGACCUCCAGAUUUUCUUACUGUACUUCUGUAGCAAAGUUUUGUGGUUCCAGUAAAGUGUUUGUUAUCUUAGACUUGACUUGCAGACCAUGCUUGGGUUCGGCUAGUGUUCUCCCCACGUACAAUUUAAGAGGGUAAUAACAUAUCACUGAACUUGGAGAUCGAUCUGUGUUAGCUUCUGGCGUUCUAGAUCGGCACUGUAAUAAGUAACUGUAACUGUACCAUGGCUCUAUGCAUUGGGAAAUUAAAACCACUCGUAUGAGUAAAUCAAUUUACAGGAACAAAUGAGCAGUAAAAAGCAUCCUUCCGGUUGCUGAUAGUACGUGCAGCUAGGCACGCCAUAUGAGUACAUACAACGAAGGACUUAACGUCCAGAUACGCAGAUCCAUGGUACACAAGCACAGGCAUAUGCAGGAACAGAUUCAGAGAGAGAGAGAGAGAGAAAGAAACUGAAACCAAAGCUUUAAUCAAAUCAGAUCAGAUCUUGCCGCGUGGGCCGGGGGUGGGGGGAAGCUGCGGCCCCUUCUUGAUGGGCAGCAGGUCCGGCGACGUGGUGGCGCCGAGGUAGGCGAUCAGGGACCCGCCGCCGAGGAGCAGGAACUUGAGCAGCAGGCCGCGCUUGGUGAAUGGCGCCGCGAAGGUCUGGAAGAACUUGCUCUGCAGCCCGUUGUAAGGGGACGGCGCGUCGGACCCGUACAGGUCCCACUGCCCCGUCGUGUUGCCGAUGUCGUCCAGGUCGAAGUACACGCUCUUCUCCCCGUACUUCGCCUGCACCGCGACGCCUCGUGCAGGCCUGCAGGCGUACGCGCACGCGUAUAUAUACGGUUAUUUAUACGUAUGUACAUACGCUCGAUCGAUGACAUAUUAGCUCGCUUCACGUGCGUACCUGCGGGUGGAGCGGCAGAGGGAGGACGGCCGGGCGGUGGCGGCGAGCUUGCGGCCGGACAUGGAACUGCCGGCCAGGCCCUUCACGGCGGCCGACGGCUGGACGGCGACGAGCGACACCAUUGUUGUAACAGUGGGAUGUGUUCUGAGCUUCUUUUUCUUUUUUUUUUUGCUGCGGGUUACGUGCGCGAACUUGAUCCAGUGCUGGGGAUAUUUGGAAGGUGUGCUGCUGCGGGGCUGAUCAGGUUUGGGUGGGAGAGGCUUGGCGGGGAUGGGCGAGGCCCCCAUUGGGAGCGCGCCACGCGGCAGGGUUCCGGAUAGGCUUAUCCUGAUCGCUUGAUUCUUGGGAGGGAUGACAUGGCGCGGCCAACGUGGCACCGGAGCUUGCGUGGGGUUGUCCAGCUGGGAACGGGCGUCGGAAAAGAUCUCACCAGAUGUCCCCGACGGCAUCGAUCGAUCGAUCACGGUCUCACUGAGAUAUGGUGGGCCGGUGGGCCCAGAAGCCCUCUAGCUAGGUGCUAGGACAGUGCACGUAACGUACUCCGUAUUGAUCAUUGAAGGAAAGUAAAGAGAGAUAGGUAGAGAAGGACGUCCACGUACUCCGUUGCAUUUUGCAAAUGUUGCACGUACGUACGUAUCAGCACCAGGAUACAUAUGCAACGUGGGCAGGCAGAGUACGUAUAUUGUAGUGUAACGUAUUGCUAGUCGAUCUUAAGCACCUUCCGCUUGGCCGGGGAUACUAAUUAACCGGUAAAUACGGCGGAAGGGAUGUGUACAGGCGCGAUAUAUACAGUGGAUCCAGAUCUGAGAUCGAUCUAGCUGAGCCUUGCGUACGUGCUAUAUACACAUCCUCAUCCGCGAUGGGCAAGCGCAUGCAUGCAGGGUACGCUUCUACGACAAUGGAGCAGCAAAGGAAUUGACGCU